rnacentral:rRNA from 1 species
GAUGAACGCUGGCGGCGUGCUUAACACAUGCAAGUCGAACGGGAAACAUUUUAUUGAAGCUUCGGCGGAUUUAGCUUGUUUCUAGUGGCGGACGGGUGAGUAACGCGUGGGUAACCUGCCUUAUAACGGGGGAUAACAGCCAGAAAUGGCUGCUAAUACCGCAUAAGCGCCCGGAGCCGCAUUGCUCUGUAUGAAAAACUCCGGUGGUAUAAGAUGGACCCGCGUUGGAUUAGCUAGUUGGCAGGGCAGCGGCCUACCAAGGCGACGAUCCAUAGCCGGCCUGAGGGGGUGAACGGCCACAUUGGGACUGAGACACGGCCCAGACUCCUACGGGAGGCAGCAGUGGGGAAUAUUGCACAAUGGGGGAAACCCUGAUGCAGCGACGCCGCGUGAAGGAAGAAGUAUCUCGGUAUGUAAACUUCUAUCAGCAGGGAAGAUAAUGACGGUACCUGACUAAGAAGCCCCGGCUAACUACGUGCCAGCCGCCGCCGUAA